rnacentral:ncRNA from 1 species
CGAGCGCACGGGUCCGCAGCGAUGUCGGCCACCCACCCGACCCGUCUUAAAACACAGACCAAGGAGUCUAACACGUGCUCGAGUAAAGGGCUCCCACAAAAGCCAAGCCCAUGGACGGUAUGAGGCCGGUAGCAGCCCCCAGCGCGCCGGGCCCGGGUCUUCCCGGAGUCAGGUUGCUGGGGAAUGAAGCCCAAAGCGGGUGGUAAACUCCAUCUAAGGCUAAAUACCGGCACAAGACCGAUAGUCAACAAGUACCGUAAAAAAAAGUUAAAAAAAAAACUUUAAAGAGAGUUCAAGAGGGCGUAAAACCAUUAAGAGGUAAAUGGGUGGGGUCCUCGCAGUCCGCCCGGAAGAUUCAACCCCGCGG